CACUGCUAGUAUUGGACAUGGAUAGGACAAUGAUGUCAGCGGUAACAAUGCAGCAGGUGAGGAGCAGAGCACCACAUGGUGCAUUUACACUUUCCUUCUUCAUUGCUUCCCCAGUGGAGCGUAUGAAAGCUGAAGCUGCGCAGGCUACAGCAAAAAUACAGGAGGAAAUGCAACAGAAGAUUGAACAGUUGCUGCAAGAGAAAGAGAAGAGCCAUGAGGAGCACAGCAAACAGUUGACUGAGAUGAUGGGGAAGGCACAGGACCAGAAUAAGAAUAUGCAACAGUUGGUUGAACAGUUGGUGCAACAGAAAGGAAAGAGUGAUGAGGACCACAGGAAAAAGUUGACUGAGAAGGUAGAUGAAGCACAGGCCAAGUUGAGAGAGUUGCAGAAGGAGAAAGAACAUUUGCAGAACCAGAUGAAGUGUCUAGAGGAAAAAAUCAAACAUCUGCCUGAGGAGAAAAAGAAGGAAAAUCAUGAAUAUGACCAACUUCGCGAGCAAUAUGAAGACCUAAAGAAGAAAAUAAUACAAAUUGAUGAAGAAUUAAGAAAUAAGCAGGGAAAGUCGUGUGUCAUAAGCUAAAGGCCUAAAGAGUUGUGCCAUCCUGCCAUUUGAAGCAGAGCUGAAUAUGGUAUUGAAUUGGGCUCAAGGGUGACUCUUGUUGAAUAUAGUGUGCAAAAUAUUCAGCACAAUCUUUGAAAUUAUAUUUAUCUUAUCUUAUAUUAAGUUUGUUCAUCUAGGAUUCCAUUGACAUCUUUACCACAGAGGAGAUACCAACAGCGCUACUCAGAAAGAAGUACCUUUUUAAGAUGAUCUCAAGGAUACACAUGGACACUUAUCACAUUCUGAACCAUUGGCACGAAACUAGGAACCAAGUUAUGCAGGACUGUGAUGGGUCAGAAAUAGCCAGCCUCAUUCCUUACAAUGUAAAAUUAUCUAUUAUAUCAAAAGUGUUCAACCUUUCUGCAAUGGCAUGAUUUGUGGACACUGGUGAUGGGUAACCCAAUCAACACAAUCUAUUGUAAAUCAAGACACCUGCAUCGAAAUCUAGAGUACCCAUAUAUAAUAUCUACACAAAAAUGGAAGAAAACAUUAGCACAGCAAGAAGCUGAAUCACAGGUCCAUGGACCAAAGAAGGAAAUGUUUCAGUUCAUGUAGAUUGACACUGUAAUGGGACAUUUCUAAGUUUUAACUGUUGACAGUGAUUAUGUACUAACAUGAUAAAAUCAGCAUAAUGUAGAAUACUAACGUUAAAGAUGGACUUUAAAUGAUGGUGUGUAAUCUCUUGGUAUCAAAGCUGUCUUAAUGAUUCAUCUGUAAACAUUAACUUACACUGCUCUUUUACUAUGAUUAGCAGCUGUGUUUGAAAUCCUGUUGAUUUUUACCAAAGAAGAAUAAAGAUUAUUUUCCUAUAUUUUUAACCAGCUCUUAGUACUAAGGAAUAUAUCUAAAAAAAUCACAACUGCCAGAAAUGUAAAGUAAGUGGCUAACAGAUUUUAAAGGGAUUUAGAAUUUUGGGGGGUAUGGUUCAGUGAGUAAAAUGUUUGCUGUGCAAUCAUGAGGAUGUAAAUUCAGAUCUCAUAACCUACAGAGCAAACCAGACAUUGUGGUAGACAAAUGUAAGUUGGGGCAAGGGUACACAUGGUCACUGGGGUCUUCUAGUCAGUCAGCACAGUCGACAGAUGGGCUCUGGGUUCACUGAUAGGAAUUAUUUAAAAAAUAUGGAAAGCAAUUGAUAUCAGGGUCAUCCUGUUUCAUGGAAGUGGAUAAGACCAGACAGGGUCUUACUCAUUUUAAGCGAAUUAAAC
ensembl:lincRNA